ensembl:lncRNA
GGGCGAAUGGCUAUAUAAGCAGGCAAAUCACCAGAGGAAAUCAGAUCUCACUCCUUCAGCGACGACUUCACUUCGCUGGAUCCCGACUGAACUCUCGCCAUCGAAGAGGCAUCGCAGCGGAUCAGCUGAGACCGCCUGCAGUGCCGGCGCUCUCGAAGACAGCCGCUCUUCAGCGCCGAUUUCGGGCCACCCGCUUCUGCUUCCGGCCACUUCUCAGCGAUAUCCUGCCGCUAUCCGGCGAUCACAAAAGAGCAUUUCCAGCGGUUUUCACCUCUCUCAAAGAGCGAUUUCUAACGCCGUUGUGAAAUGGAGUGGCACAUGCAGAGCCCCUCUGCAUGAGGAUGACGGCCAUGCUGAGUGCGUCUUCUGCCUGGGUAAAGCCCACGCUGAGGCGGCGCUCACUGAGACCUCAUGCUGCUUUUGUGAGAGCAUGUGAUCCCGCCCCUCGUGCCCCCCUGUCUUCUUCCUCCUGCGAUCCGGCCAGGAAAAGAUGGCGGGGAAGAGGGGCUCAGCGCCCGGAUUUGGGUGAGCUCACGCCGGCUCAGCACCCACGUGCCUCACCCUCUCCAAUGAGAGAGCCGUCCCCUGUCCUUUUCUCACGCCCAGAGCAGCGUCCCUCGGCUGAAGCAAGCGACCUAGUCUCUUUCGGCGGAUUGGAAGACGAGCCGCUUGAUGACUCCAUGUCACUCGCGGCUUCUGAAACGGAGGAUUGGGCCGGCGAUUCUGACCCCGCCCACCUACCAUCACUGGAGCCCAUCGACGCCAGAGCUGGGAUGGAUGCCGAGCUUCUCCGCAUCCUCUCCAAGGCUGUCGAGGAGCUUAAUCUGGAGUGGGCUCCCCCUGAAGAGCCGACGCGCAGCAGCCUGGACGAGUGGUACCUGCCAGGACACCGCCAGGCCCCCCGCCAGCGCACUGCCCCGUUCUUCCCUGAGGUUCAUGAUGAGCUGACCAAGUCGUGGCGCGCCUCCUACUCGGCCCGCCUACGCACUUCCUCCUCUGCAGCUCUCAGCUCAGUAGACGGUUCUCAGGAGAAGGGCUAUGAGCAAUUGCCACCCCUGGAUGAGGCUGUGGCUGCUCACCUCUGCCCCCCCUCGGCUGUGGGGUGGAAAAGCAAGAGAGCCCUUCCUUCCAAGCCCUGCAGGACAACCUCUGCCAUGGCCGACAGAGCCUACACUUCUGUGGGCCAAGCCACUUCAGCACUACACACCAUGGCCAUAUUGCAAGUGUUCCAGGCAAAGCUUCUCCGUUCCCUGGAUGAGUCUAGCCCUGAUGAACCUGCUUU